CCGCAGCUAACGCAUUAAGUGCCCCGCCUGGGGAGUACGGCCGCAAGGCUAAAACUCAAAGGAAUUGACGGGGGCCCGCACAAGCGGCGGAGCAUGCGGAUUAAUUCGAUGCAACGCGAAGAACCUUACCAAGGCUUGACAUGUUCUCGAUCGCCGUAGAGAUACGGUUUCCCCUUUGGGGCGGGUUCACAGGUGGUGCAUGGUUGUCGUCAGCUCGUGUCGUGAGAUGUUGGGUUAAGUCCCGCAACGAGCGCAACCCUCGUUCCAUGUUGCCAGCACGUAAUGGUGGGGACUCAUGGGAGACUGCCGGGGUCAACUCGGAGGAAGGUGAGGACGACGUCAAAUCAUCAUGCCCCUUAUGUCUUGGGCUUCACGCAUGCUACAAUGGCCGGUACAAUGGGUUGCGAUACUGUGAGGUGGAGCUAAUCCCAAAAAGCCGGUCUCAGUUCGGAUUGGGGUCUGCAACUCGACCCCAUGAAGUCGGAGUCGCUAGUAAUCGCAGAUCAGCAACGCUGCGGUGAAUACGUUCCCGGGCCUUGUACACACCGCCCGUCAAGUCACGAAAGUUGGUAACACCCGAAGCCGGUGGCC
rnacentral:rRNA from 1 species